rnacentral:rRNA from 1 species
UACGUAGGGGGCAAGCGUUGUCCGGAAUUAUUGGGCGUAAAGAGCGCGUAGGCGGUCCGAUAAGUCGGCUGUGAAAGUCAGGGGCUCAACCCUUGAAAGCCGGCCGAUACUGUCGGACUAGAGUCCGGAAGAGGCAAGUGGAAUUCCCGGUGUAGCGGUGAAAUGCGCAGAUAUCGGGAGGAACACCAAUGGCGAAGGCGACUACCUGGCCUGUUCUUGACGCUGAGGCGCGAAAGCUAGGGGAGCAAACGGG